UACGUAGGGGGCUAGCGUUGUCCGGAAUCAUUGGGCGUAAAGCGCGCGUAGGCGGCCAGAUAAGUCCGGUGUGAAAGUCACAGGCUCAACCUGUGAAUGCCGCUGGAAACUGUCUGGCUAGAGUCCGGAAGGGGCGAGUGGAAUUCCUGGUGUAGCGGUGAAAUGCGUAGAGAUGUGGAGGAACACCGAUGGCGAAGGCAGCCUCCUGGGCCAACACUGACGCUCAUGCACGAAAGCGUGGGGAGCAAACAGG
rnacentral:rRNA from 1 species